rnacentral:tRNA from 1 species
CCCCCUGUAGCCCAACUGGCAGAGGCAGACGACUCAAAAUCGUCCAAGUGUCGGUUCGAACCCAACCGGGGGAAACA